rnacentral:rRNA from 1 species
AGAGUUUGAUCCUGGCUCAGAACGAACGCUGGCGGCAGGCUUAACACAUGCAAGUCGAGCGCCCCUCCUUCAAGCAAGCUUGAAGGAAUUUUCCUUGGAAAAGAGAAGAUCAAAAAGCUUCUUCAAGAAGCUUUCUUGAUGGAGGGGAGCGGCAGACGGGUGAGUAACGCGUGGGAAUCUACCCAACCCUACGGAACAACUCCGGGAAACUGGAGCUAAUACCGUAUACGCCCUUUGGGGGAAAGAUUUAUCGGGGAUGGAUGAGCCCGCGUUGGAUUAGCUAGUUGGUGGGGUAAAGGCCUACCAAGGCGACGAUCCAUAGCUGGUCUGAGAGGAUGAUCAGCCACAUUGGGACUGAGACACGGCCCAAACUCCUACGGGAGGCAGCAGUGGGGAAUAUUGGACAAUGGGCGCAAGCCUGAUCCAGCCAUGCCGCGUGAAUGAUGAAGGCCUUAGGGUUGUAAAGUUCUUUCACCGGAGAAGAUAAUGACGGUAUCCGGAGAAGAAGCCCCGGCUAACUUCGUGCCAGCAGCCGCGGUAAUACGAAGGGGGCUAGCGUUGUUCGGAAUUACUGGGCGUAAAGCGCACGUAGGCGGAUAUUUAAGUCAGGGGUGAAAUCCCAGAGCUCAACUCUGGAACUGCCUUUGAUACUGGGUAUCUUGAGUAUGGAAGAGGUAAGUGGAAUUGCGAGUGUAGAGGUGAAAUUCGUAGAUAUUCGCAGGAACACCAGUGGCGAAGGCGGCUUACUGGUCCAUAACUGACGCUGAGGUGCGAAAGCGUGGGGAGCAAACAGGAUUAGAUACCCUAGUAGUCC